rnacentral:rRNA from 1 species
UUGGAGGGCAAGUCUGGUGCCAGCAGCCGCGGUAAUUCCAGCUCAAAUAGCGUAUAUUAAAGUUGUUGCAGUUAAAAUGCUCGUAGUUGAAUUUCGGGCUCAGUAGGUUGGUCGUGCCUCAGGUAUGAACUGGUCUCACUGAUUCCUCCUUCCUGAUGAACCGUAAUGCCAUUAAUUUGGUGUUGCGGGGAGACUGGACUGUUACUUUGAAAAAAUUAGAGUGUUUAAAGCAGGCUAACGCUUGAAUACAUUAGCAUGGAAUAAUGAAAUAGGACGUUCGGUCUUAUUUUGUUGGUUUCUAAGAUUGACGUAAUGAUUAAUAGGGAUAGUUGGGGGCAUUAGUAUUCAAUUGUCAGAGGUGAAAUUCUUGGAUUUAUUGAAGACUAACUACUGCGAAAGCAUUUGCCAAGGAUGUUUUCAUUAAUCAAGAACGAAAGUUAGGGGAUCGAAGACGAUCAGGUACCGUCGUAGUCUUAACCAUAAACUAUGCCGACUAGGGAUCGGAUGUUGUUAAUUUUUUAAUGACUCAUUCGGCGCCUUACGGGAAAC